rnacentral:rRNA from 1 species
UGGGGAAUAUUGGACAAUGGGCGCAAGCCUGAUCCAGCCAUGCCGCGUGAGUGAUGAAGGCCCUAGGGUUGUAAAGCUCUUUCAGCGAGGAGGAUAAUGACGUUACUCGCAGAAGAAGCCCCGGCUAACUUCGUGCCAGCAGCCGCGGUAAUACGAAGGGGGCUAGCGUUGUUCGGAAUCACUGGGCGUAAAGCGCACGUAGGCGGACUUUUAAGUCAGGGGUGAAAUCCCGGGGCUCAACCUCGGAACUGCCUUUGAUACUGGAAGUCUGGAGUCCGAGAGAGGUGAGUGGAACUCCGAGUGUAGAGGUGAAAUUCGUAGAUAUUCGGAAGAACACCAGUGGCGAAGGCGGCUCACUGGCUCGGUACUGACGCUGAGGUGCGAAAGCGUGGGGAGCAAAACAGGAUUAGAUACCCUGGUAGUCCACGCCGUAAAACGAUGGAAGCUAGCCGUCAGGGUGCAUGCAUCUUGGUGGCGCAGUUAACGCAUUAAGCUUCCCGCCUGGGGAGUACGGUCGCAAGAGUUAAAAACUCAAAGGAAUUGACGGGGUC